rnacentral:rRNA from 1 species
GACGAACGCUGGCGGCGUGCUUAACACAUGCAAGUCGAACGGAAAGGCCCUGCUUUUGUGGGGUGCUCGAGUGGCGAACGGGUGAGUAACACGUGAGUAACCUGCCCUUGACUUUGGGAUAACCUCAGGAAACUGGGGCUAAUACCGGAUAGGAGCUCCUGCUGCAUGGUGGGGGUUGGAAAGUUUCGGCGGUUGGGGAUGGACUCGCGGCUUAUCAGCUUGUUGGUGGGGUAGUGGCUUACCAAGGCUUUGACGGGUAGCCGGCCUGAGAGGGUGACCGGCCACAUUGGGACUGAGGUACGGCCCAGACUCCUACGGGAGGCAGCAGUGGGGAAUAUUGCACAAUGGGCGGAAGCCUGAUGCAGCAACGCCGCGUGCGGGAUGACGGCCUUCGGGUUGUAAACCGCUUUCGCCUGUGACGAAGCGUGAGUGACGGUAAUGGGUAAAGAAGCACCGGCUAACUACGUG